rnacentral:rRNA from 1 species
GACGGAGGAUGCAAGCGUUAUCCGGAAUUAUUGGGCGUAAAGCGUCCGCAGGUGGCACUUCAAGUCUGCUGUCAAAGACCGGGGCUUAACCCUGGAAAGGCAGUGGAAACUGAAGCGCUAGAGUGUGGCAGGGGUAGAGGGAAUUCCCGGUGUAGCGGUGAAAUGCGUAGAGAUCGGGAAGAACAUCGGUGGCGAAAGCGCUCUACUGGGCCAUAACUGACACUCAGGGACGAAAGCUAGGGGAGCGAAUGGG